rnacentral:lncRNA from 1 species
UAAUAACAAAAUGAUUUUAUUUAAUAAAUAAGUAUUUGUUACAAGUAUCAAGUUCUUAUAAAUAAUUGGCCUCUAAGGCUUACAACAACAAUAGAAACAUAAUGCAAACAUUAUUAUAUGAAUUUUGAAAUUAUAAUUAUUUUCAUAUUUAAUAGCCCACAAUAAAGGUACAAAUAUUAUUAUAUGAUUUCAGGAAAGAUAAUUAUUUUUAAAUUUUAUCAUCAGGGAAAAUAAAUCCUACAUAAACCAUUAACGCACAACACAUAUCUAGGUAAUAUUUGUUGUGGACAAUCAUUUCUAGAAUCACAAGGAAUAUCAGCUGCAUUGCCAAAUAAAAAAAAAUUAAUAAAAUUGUGAGUAUAAGAUAAACUAGAAAAUAUGAAAAUGGUGUGAAAAAAGACAUACUUUUUUUGGUUUCAACCAAAAAUAGAGAAAGAAAGAUGAUCAAAGCACCAACAAACAUGAUAACUUGAGCCAUAUUUUAACACUUUUGAU